AUAUAAAGUAGCAGAUUGUGAAGAUCGGUGUUCAAAAAUUCAUCAUGAAAUUUUUGAAUUUAUUUCAUAAAUUCAUAGGAAAUUGAGUCAAGAAGACGACCUAGGGCUGCCGGAGUGAAUCUCAAUCGGAAAUAUGGUGAAAAACGGAAAAGACUUGAGGUUGGUUUGAAUUUGGGCAGUUUCGAGUAAACAGAGGCUAUAUGGGAAUUCAAUUAAAGCAGAGUAGGGGUAGUUUUGGUAGCUUAUUUUGAAGUAUUCGAGGAACUUUAAAGCUGAAAAUCCUCAGUUCUAUACCCGUGGAGAAUUUGAAGAAUUUCUCUCAAACCUGUUGAUCAAUUGGGAUAUUUUCUUCCUAAAGCUUGAAGAUAAUCGAAUAAGAAGAACUUCGAGGGCUGCUUAAGGGGAACGAAUUUGGAAAAGCCAUCAAUUUUGAGGAAAUCAGUGGAUUUGCACAAAAUUUCGUAGAAAUAGAGUAGUCGGGAUUUAAUCGAAAUUUUUAGCUAUCCAAGGUAAUUCGUGAACUCUAACUUAUUGGGUAAUUUAGUUUAGAGGUAGUUAAUUAGUUCUGUAGAAUAAAUUUGAGUGUUUUUGGGUUGGAUUGGGUGAAAUCGAAGCUUAAAAUCUUGAAAGUAGCUGUAGGAAAACAGAACAACUCUCAGAAAGUUGGUGGUCUUCGAAGAAGAUGAUGUGUGCAUCUUUUUCCCGUCAUCAAAAUCCUUUUUGAGAUUUAAUGUCAUUUGAAUAAUUUGGAGCAAUUUGUUUAAGAAAUCUAUGCACUUAAGGGAGAUUUAAGGGUUUUUAUUAUUAUUAUUAUUUGUUUGAAUAAUUUAAAGGCUAAGGAUGCUUAAACCCUAAAAUUUGGCCAUUUUGGGGAUUAUUUGGGGGUUAAGGGAAUUAUGGUUAAAUGAUAGUUGUUUAUGCAGUGUUUGGACUGGAUAACCAUAAGUUAAUAAUGUGAUUUUUAGGCCAUGUUCAAUUAGGAGAGGCUUAUAAAUCCGAAGGAUCGAUCCAAAAAUUGUGAGUGACAAAACUAAGUGUUUUCAAAUGUUUUAGCAAGCACAUGACUAUUUAAAAGUUUAGAAUCAUGUUUGCCUCAUUUUAUUGUAUUCUUAAGUAGUUUCCAAGCAAACUAAUCUUUCAAAGCACGUGUUUUAUGCUAUUCAUGCUUUCAAGUAUACAUGUUUUACUGUAUGAUUAUUUAUGAUGAUUAUGUUAAAUCCGAUACUGAAGGACUUGAGAAGGUAUCUGGGUAGUAGUACCUAAGGUAUGACGAUACCUAGUUAUUACCACACGUAUGUUGGUAGAGUUGACUUUGGUAGUGUUGAGAUUAAACCAUGCCAACUAAGGAUUGACGUUGAGGAAUUGAGCAAAAGGGUUCUCUCUCAACUAAGGAUUACGUUAGUUAUGUUUUUUAGAGAUACUAUGUUUUAAAAUGUUUUAAGUAUGAGUUUGCUUGCAAGUUUUAGUUACAAGCAUGAUGAAUAUGUUUUAUUAGUCACUCAUUGGGUGAGUAACUCAUUCUUUCAAAUGUUUUCCAUUUCCCAAGUAGUGGUCAUCUUCCCAGAGGUUAGCUGCCCUAUUGUUCUGCCACUCAAGGACUUAAGCUAACAGUUUAAAGUCUAAAUAGAAGUUUUAGGUGUUUAUUUUGUAAAUAUUUGUUCAUAUGUGUUGCUUAUAUUAGGGAUAUGAAGUAUG